UACGGAGGGGGCUAGCGUUGUUCGGAAUUACUGGGCGUAAAGCGCACGUAGGCGGCUUUGCAAGUUAGAGGUGAAAGCCCGGGGCUCAACUCCGGAAUUGCCUUUAAAACUGCAUCGCUAGAAUUGUGGAGAGGUAAGUGGAAUUCCGAGUGUAGAGGUGAAAUUCGUAGAUAUUCGGAAGAACACCAGUGGCGAAGGCGACUUACUGGACACAUAUUGACGCUGAGGUGCGAAAGCGUGGGGGAGCGAACAGG
rnacentral:rRNA from 1 species